UCUUUGACGGUAAAAACGCUGUAAUCAGCGGGCUACAUGAAAAAUUACUCUAAUUAUGGCUGCAUUUAAGAGAAUGGAAAAAAACCUUCUUGUGGAUAAAAACCUUAAAUUGUCCCCAAUGUCUGCUUCAAAUUGGAUGGCACUGCAGCUGGAGGCUUUGUUCAGAAUUGAUCCUGGGGAGCUCUGAACCCAAAGUUUCACAGUAGGAAGGGGGGGAAAAGAAAAGAAAACAUUUUUCUUAAUGUAACAAUGCGAGUGGUAGAAAAUGACAAGACUGAUCGGUUUUAAACCAUUCUGAAGACUGACUGAGCGUGGAAGUUGCUCAACAAAAAAAAGGAACUCGUAUAUUGAUGUGGCCUUCAGGAGAACCCCCUACAUACCAGCAGAGUGCCUCCACCAGAUAAGGAAGCAACCAAGGAAGAGUAAGGAGGACAUGAAUCAAGAGGUGCUCCAAUCCUCAGAGGCCAAAAAACAAGAAUGCAGGGCAUGGAGAGAGACUUUAAAAGAAAAUUAUAAAAUAUACAGGCAGGACAGAAAGGAGAGUCAAGAGUGAAUUUUAGUGGUUCAGGAGCAGAUUAUAAAAGUGAUGGAAGAGCAAAUGGAGAUAUUGAAGUCCCUAAUCAUGCUGCAUGAGACAUUCAUGAUGCUUCCCCGCCACCACAGCCGAUACAGAACUGCUUUCCAUGCCCCCCUGAAACUCCUCCCAUAUAUUCCUUGCAACUUCCUGGCCUGUCUAGGUACCCCAUUUAUUCCAUCCCUUCUGACAGCUUCAAAAUGAUAGCUGGACUUACACACAGCUAUAAGAGCCUACAUUGAUGUUCAUCGUUAUCUCCCUUCCCACCAAGCCUUUUGUGUGUGUUGUUAAUUAGUAUUUAAUAAAAACAAACUCUCUGAAAGAUAA